rnacentral:rRNA from 1 species
GACGAACGCUGGCGGCGUGCUUAACACAUGCAAGUCGAACGGAAAGGCCCUGCUUUUGUGGGGUGCUCGAGUGGCGAACGGGUGAGUAACACGUGAGUAACCUGCCCUUGACUUUGGGAUAACUUCAGGAAACUGGGGCUAAUACCGGAUAGGAGCUCCUGCUGCAUGGUGGGGGUUGGAAAGUUUCGGCGGUUGGGGAUGGACUCGCGGCUUAUCAGCUUGUUGGUGGGGUAGUGGCUUACCAAGGCUUUGACGGGUAGCCGGCCUGAGAGGGUGACCGGCCACAUGGGGACUGAGAUACGGCCCAGAAGCCUACGGGAGGCAGCAGGGGGGAAUAUUGCACAAUGGGCGGAAGCCUGAUGCAGCAACGCCGCGUGCGGGAUGACGGCCUUCGGGUUGUAAACCGCUGUCGCAUGUGACGAAGAGUGAGUGACGGUAAUGGGUAAAGAAGCACCGGCUAACUACGUG